UUGAAAUUCUUCACGUCAUAUUUCUCAAAACUAGAUGUAGAUUCUAGGUCUAGGUACUGAGCAGAUAUAGACUAUAGAUUGUAAUUUUCUAAGUUAGCGGUAUAUAUAUAUAUGUAAUUAUGUUGUAUUUUAGAUCUAUCUUAGUAUCUAUAGAUUUAGAUCUAGUCUCUAUACUAUGGCAACAACGUUGCCAAGGCCAAGACAAGGCAUCAUGUUUUAAUUUCCCAAACUUCUGCUACGCUGAAGUCGUAGAAUUCAAGUACUGUCAAGCCAGCCCUAGAUCUAAUUAUGUUCUUGUAGGUCUAGAAUCUAGAUCUAGAGUAAAAUUUGGGGGGGCAUUUUGAUUUUUUAAAAAAGGAACUGCCUAUUUGCGACGCCGCUUUGCGAUUAGCGCUGGCGCUAAAUAAAUGUAUCAGUCACUCCAAUAAUUAGAUUGAUGUGGGACAUAAUGUUGUUUGUUUUUUAAAAUUGUUUUUUCAAUUUUGAUAUAGUAUGUUUAGUAUAGUAUAGUAUAAGGUUUUACGGCGCUCGCAACUGCUAAGGUCAUAUGAGCAAUGUAAUAUGUUUGAGAAAGCUGUGCAGUUGGCGAACUUUUGGAACAGAAAACCCUCCACCCUUUCUGAAUUUCGGUCAGAAACGUACAAAUUAGCGUGCUGAAGAGCUCUGCUGAUCCAGAACAAGAUGUUUUGGAAGAUCUGGAUCUAGAGGCACUCCUGUACAAUUGCGGUCCCGUCUGUUUUCAUGAGGGCCAUUGUGGGAGGGAAUUUAGAAGAUCUAGAAUCUAGAUCUAGAUAGUCUAUCCAGAAUCUAGUGAUCUUUAGAUUCUAGAUAGCCAAGCAAUUGACAAGGUGUCCGAUGGUAACUUAGAAUAGGAUCAGGUGAUCGCAGGCCUAUAUGGCUUGUGGCGGCUCGUAUCACAGAACAGAUGGCUAAACUGUAAAAUGUACCUGCACUUGCUCCGAGCUGAGUUUCAAGUUGUUUAGAACCUGAAAAUCAACUCAGACAUCGGUCCACGAUUGUCAUUCAACUCAACUACGGGAACUUCUACUUCCCCUCCAUCAUCAGCCAGACCGUUAGAUCUAUCUCCAUCAGGGGCGAAAGCUGACUUGUUUGACAGGUUCCUCGUCCAAUGAUGAUCCUGGCACUGGCCCAUGCGUCUCUUCACCGGCCACCUUUCCAGUGGCUGCUACAGUUGGAGCCUCGCUGUCAGAAAAUGGGAGGACCAGAGACAGUUUCCUGAGACUCUGUGCAGGUUGAGCACCACAGAUGGAUCAUUUCUGCUUUUAAAAUGUUACGUAGCUCGAUGUACCAGGGAAAAUCCUGAAAAACCAAGAACAGUUGAGAUUUUUUGGGGGGUGUUUUUGGUACAUGUUUGUAUUUGUCGCGUGUCCCUUUUUCGGGUACAUGCCAUAUUACUGAUCUUAUUUGUGUCAGACAAAAUUAUUCACGA